AUUGAACGCUGGCGGCAGGCCUAACACAUGCAAGUCGAACGAGUGGCGGACGGGUGAGUAAUGUCUGGGAAACUGCCUGAUUGAGGGGGAUAACUACUGGAAACGGUAGCUAAUACCGCAUACCAUCAGAUGUGCCCAUAUGGGAUUAGCUUGUUGGUGGGGUAACGGCUCACCAAGGCGACGAUCCCUAGCUGAUAUGAGAGGAUAACCAGCAACACGGGAACUGAGACACGGUCCAGACUCCUACGGGAGAAAGCAGUGGGGAAAAUUGCACAAUGGGCGCAAGAGUGAUGGAGCAAUGCCGCGUGUAUGAAGAAGGACUUCGGGUUGUAAAGUACUUUCAGCGGGGAGGCGUUACCCGCAGAAGAAGCACCGGCUAACUCCGUGCCAGCCGACGCGGUAAUAC
rnacentral:rRNA from 1 species